rnacentral:tmRNA from 1 species
GGGGAUGCACAGGUUUCGACGGGGGUGUGGAAACCGGAUAAGCGAGCCGAAGUUGCCAGUCUUCGUAAAAAGGGCACGUUAAAGAUAAACGCUAAAACUAACAAUAAUUUCGCACUGGCAGCAUAGUUCUGCCCCGCGCGUUCUCCCGGGUUCACCUGCAGGCUCGGAUCAGAACGUCAAACAUGCAGGAAACCUUGCGUGAGCUCCUGGUAGCGUAAGGGAUUAACAGGAUAGCCGAGCCUUCAGCCUGCUUAUGGGCGGCGGGCAAAGCGAAACAAUAAAUCAUAAGCUGCGCUCGGAGAAAUUCCGGUGAAAAUGCUUUCGGACACGGGUUCAAUUCCCGUCAUCUCCACCA